UCGACAAGGUGCCGAGUCCUCUGCUACGUAUCUUUCUCGGGCCGCCGUGUAUAAACGACGCGACGAACCGCAAGUGCACCGCAAACGUUUACCGUGAAAUAUUAAACGCGUGACGCCGCAUCAACGACGGAGGGAGGCUCGGGUCCUCGAGAGCGGCUGAAUGAAAUGUUAAUUGAAACAGAAAUCAGUGUCACGCGCGUUACGCGCCCGCUCUCGUCGCAUCGGGACAGAUGUACGCGCUCGGCGCCAGAUUUAUGACGCUCUCCGACGACCAGCGAUACGGUUGCUCGUUUCGCGGUGCGAUUUUUAACGUUUCGAACGCGAGCAUUGUCCGCGAGAACCGCGGACUAGAUAAGGCCGCGUAAUUCCGAAUCGCAGUCGUCGAUACCGCGACGAUAUCGCGGCGUAAUUUUGCGACAGGUUUAUUGAUUCUCCUCGUUCGUGACUUGAUCGUUUUACCGUAUCCGAGCGCCGUUCACGCAAUUUUCUAUCCUUUAUUAAUCUCUAGACCGAUCCUUACUCGCGUAAUUUUGUUUUUGGUACGAGUGCGCGUUAUUUUUUUUUUUUUUCACUCGCGUAAUUAUUUAUUUAUCAAUUUCUGGCUGAUCGGUCCAGGCGUAAUUUUAUUCCGUAGUUGGUCGUGUUCCCGAAGGAAUUGAAAAACACGAGGCACGAAAGAUGAAGGAUGGAGAACAAGUUUAAUCAACCUUUUCGUAUAGAAUUUAUUUGGAACUCUUCGAGCAAUUUCAACGAAUAACGAACAUUCGUCAAGAAAACCGAAAAGAGAUCCAUUUCACGUCGCAACGCAAAGAAUCCUACAUAUUCCCGUAUUUUAACGAGGAAAUAUGACUCUUGGCACGGAUUAAUCGCGAACGUGGCGCGGUCGCGCGAUGGAGGCGAAGGGGAAAAUUCGGCGUGUUUGCCGAGACAACGGUGGGAAGGCGGAAAUAAAUAAGAGAACACGGUACUUGGACGACGUUCGGCCUCCCCGCGGGUUUGUCGUGCGCGUAGGAGACGCUAGUGGCUGCCAUCCAAAAAUAUUUCGCCGGUGAAACGCUUAUUUCGACGUGGCGAGAGCGGUUGCGUCGAAGGGAGAAGACAAACAAGCAAGAAGAGGACCGUGUUCCGGACCCCGUUGCUCGGGCUGCGUACCAGACAUAAGUAUGCAGUUUUCGUCCAGGAAGAGACGGGGAGAUUCCGAGAAAAUUUAUUCGCCGGACAGAGUCCUCGUUUUGCAGCGCGACGCGUGACUCGAUUCGACGCCGCGAGGAAUGGACUCCCGCUGUCACGGCCGCUCCUGCCGCGACCAUUUUAACCGUGUUACCCGCUUCGCCGAGAGGGCACGUCGAUCUUUUACGUUGCGGACGAUUCUCGGCGAAUGCGGGCUUUUUGCGUUAGCUCGACCAGGGGUUCAUUUUUACGAGGGAAAAUUCUUCGAGAAUUUAUUCUGUCU